rnacentral:rRNA from 1 species
UGUAUAUAAUUUAAUACAAACCUCAAUAUCCUGGCGGCAUUUCAUCUUAUUAGAGGAACUUGUUUUUUAAUCGAUAACCCCCGUUAACUCUCUCUUGCACUUUAAAAUUUAUAUACCGUCAUUUUUAAAAUAAACUUAAAAGUACAAUUUCCGAAACAAAUCUAAAAUCAUAGAUCAAGGUGUAAUAUAUAUGCAAGUUAAAAUGAGUUACAUUAAACAAAAAUUUUAGGAUUUUUAAAUUAAAAUUUUCAAUAAAAUAGGAUUUAGCAGUAAAAAAAAAAAAUUAAUUUUUUUUGAA